rnacentral:rRNA from 1 species
AGCGAACGCUGGCGGCAGGCCUAACACAUGCAAGUCGAACGAACCCUUCGGGGUUAGUGGCGGACGGGUGAGUAACACGUGGGAACGUGCCUUUAGGUUCGGAAUAACUCAGGGAAACUUGUGCUAAUACCGAAUGUGCCCUUCGGGGGAAAGAUUUAUCGCCUUUAGAGCGGCCCGCGUCUGAUUAGCUAGUUGGUGAGGUAAUGGCUCACCAAGGCUACGAUCAGUAGCUGGUCUGAGAGGAUGACCAGCCACAUUGGGACUGAGACACGGCCCAAACACCUACGGGGAGCAGCAGUGAGGAAGCUUGCGCAAUGGGCGAAAGCCUGGCGCAGCCAUGCCGCGUGGAUGAUGAAGGUCUUAGGAUUGUAAAAUCCUUUCACCGGUGAAGAUAAUGACUGUAGCCGGAGAAAAAGCCCCGGCUAACUUCGUGCCAGCCGCCGCCGUAAAAC